rnacentral:rRNA from 1 species
UACGUAGGGUCCGAGCGUUGUCCGGAAUUACUGGGCGUAAAGAGCUCGUAGGUGGUUUGUCGCGUUGUUCGUGAAAACUCACAGCUCAACUGUGGGCGUGCGGGCGAUACGGGCAGACUUGAGUACUGCAGGGGAGACUGGAAUUCCUGGUGUAGCGGUGGAAUGCGCAGAUAUCAGGAAGAACACCAAUGGCGAAAGCAGCUUUCUGGGACGGUACUGACGCUGAGACGCGAAAAGCGUGGGGAGCGAACAGG